GGCCCAGCCCAGCACUCCAUGCUCUCUCCAUCCCCAUACGCAACCUCUCCUCUUCUCGUUUCCCCUCUGCCUCACCGCCGCCGCCACUGCUUCCUCUUCACCCCCUGCAUCCUCUCCCCUCCGCUGGUGCGGAUGCUAGCCAUACCGGCGAGGUGUCUCCCGGGCUCGGACAGCCUCCACAAUGUUGGGUGCGCCGGCGAGGUGUCUUCUGCAGCGGCUGGCGGGCGUGUCAGUUCACUACUCAUCUCGUCCAUCUCCAAGCCUCCAAUAUGGUAAGUCCUCAAUUCCUCUUCCUCAGUUCCUCACAUUGUCAAUCUUUCGUGGUUUGAUUGAGUUUCAAAAAGGAAAAGUCUUGUUUUGAUUGAGGUUCAAAAUGAAGUAGAAAAAGCUUGGUUCAGUUUUGGUUGUCAUGGAUCCUUACCUGUAUUCAUGGGCGGAUCUAACUUAAAUGCAUGUUUCUCUCUCUUUUUUUUUUACAGUAGCAGGCUAGCAAGAUAUCUUUAUUAGGAUCAGUGCCUAUGGAGUAUGCACUAUGGAUGUUUAAAUUUGAUUGCCGCUGGGUGCUGUAGCAUGUACUGAAGUCUGAACUGUUGUUCUUAUGUGUUUUGGGUAAUUUGGGUGACGAAUUUGAUGCUUAGGUUAAAUGUUUGUGGGUUUCUUGGGGAAAAAAAUAGUGGUAGUUAAUUUAUUGGCAUCGGUCAGCAGUUUGGACUGCUGGUUUAGGAUCUGCAUCGUUAAGGUCUUUAGUUAAUUGCUCUGCUAUCUGCAAUCUUCAAAAGCAAAAUGAAGCCUGGAGCAUAACAGAGGAAACUAGAUAAAAAAAACAGUACCGCAGGAGCAAAACGGUGCAGCGGAUGAUGCCAGCGUGAAUGACGAUUAACUUCUCUGACCUUGUGGUAGGCUGAAUCUGAAUCACAUUAAUGGGUGACCUUUCUCGUAAUCCUUUUUCUGAAAGCAGUAAACAAUGGCUUAGACUGGCAUUUUGGUAGUUGUGUAAGCUGAAACAUGAAGCUAAACUGAACAAUUUACUGUCCUUUUUUCGCAUGAGAUCACAUUUUGGUAGUUGCAAAGCCUAAACCAUGAUGCUUUUUGCUGCUUCUGUAGUCUCUAAGGAAGUUGUAAGAUUAUAUACUUAAGCUAAGUUUCUUCUGCUUCAAUAAAACACAGGUUGGUAGUUGCAUAACUUGAACUAUGAUGCUUUCUUGCUGCUGUUGUCGUCUCUAAUGGAAUUGCGAGAUAAUUUAGUUAAUCUCAAUGGUCUGCACUCUAAAUAAAUCAUAAGAGCCAUUUAGAAGAAGAUAGGGUACUAUUAUACAUUGGCCAUGUAAUGUACAUAUUAAGACAACAGACAAAAUUUAAUUGUGAUACUUCAGAUUUGCAGAGUUUUUUGUUGUUGAAAUUUCGUCCAGGUCAUCCUCCUCUGUGGUUUUGCUGAUUCCGACGGCAUCUGCUUGACCUACAGGAUAUCUGUGACAUUUGUUCGCAUUGGGUGUCAAUGCUGGCGACGAAAAGAUUAUUAAUGCUCUUAUUGGGGUGUCAGUGUUGGAAGCUGCUCAUGAGAAAUAUAACUUGAAGGUCCUCUGCAGUGCUACUUUUUUAUUUACUGAUUUUGGUUUUAGUUAAGAACAAUAGGCAGUGAUUCCAUGCUUGUACUUGACCUCAUGUGCUUCCUUUGACUUGAUAUCUCCUUUUUUAACUGUGAGAGUAAUUAGUCGCAUCAUAUAUCACAAGGAAUUCUACUAACCAUGUAAAAGGCUUAAUGACAAAUUGAGUACAGAUCUAUCUGAAUUUUUUUGUACACUGAAGCAGUUUCUAAGGUUUCAUCUUCACCAUCAUCAGUCAUAUCGAAGACAGGUUUCCUGACAACUAGAUACUUUAACUUUUAUAGAUUAUAUCAUGGCCUCAGUGAAAACUUUAAUAAUUAUAUCUUUUAGUCAUGUGUAAUUUUGUCCUUCUUUCAUCUGCUUGGCUGAAAAUCAUUUGUAGUUGUGUAAACUGCUUGAUUUUAUCCUCUUUCUUGCGAAAAAUGGUUUGCUUGCAGAAUAUGCCCAUUAUUAAGAUAAUGUCUUAUGUUGAUAGGUAAGUUCAAAAUUGGGUAGAGAUAUAUCAUUGCUACCUUUCCCUCCUUGUACACCUCCUUUGAUUUUGCAUCCUGUUAAAAAUUUUGGUUAAAUUUUGUAGCAUGUUGACUUAAUACAGUACAAGAUAUACUUACCUAAAAUUUGAUACACAUGAGCUAAUUGUGUGACCUUUUCCCUAACAUUUUGACAGAGGAGCUAAUUCUGUAGCAUGAUCUACGAUUUCUGCUUCAACGCUCAACUUAUCAAGUCAACAAAUGUUCACUUUCAGAUCGGCCGAUGAGGCAGUGGACCAUGGAGGAAAGGAGGCCAUCCAUGGUGCGCGCAUCCCCCACACUCGCUCGUCUUUUCCUCCUCGGCUCCGCGGACGCCGGGUGCUCGGGCAUGGCCGCCGCCAUGCCCUGCUCCUGCUGACCUUCAUCAAAAGCGGAUAACUGAGGGCUCUUCUGUUAUCAAGCUGCUUCUUUUUUGUGCCAACAGUUGCAAGUUAACUUAUUAAUAGUUGGAUACGGGCAUAUCUCAGAUUUUGAGAUUGGACAAAAUACUGAAUAAAAUGGUAACUAGAGGAAAACAAUUGCUCCUGAUACAUCAUAUCUGUAUGAUAUUGUUGCUAUAAGUCUCGGGAGGCGCGCACACCGAGGCCUGCACACUACAGAAACAUUUUAGUCAUUUAGUUUUCUUUCUUCGAAGUGCUAUUUCUCUGUUUCUUUCCUAAUAGUGGAACAAAAUUACCGUUUCUUGGGCGUCAUGUCACAAGGAGGACGUCGGGCUGCCCAUUUUAGUGCACCAUGCCACAAGUUCCAGAAUAUUAUUUUGUCUCCUAAUUAAUGAUUUUGCGACUACUUUCAUUUAACAAGGCUUAUGUGUGCAUAAGUUUGUUACUGAAUCUGGGAGAUGUAGCUAAAUAUAGAAUAAAAUGUGCUUCUUUGCAUUAGGCAGAUGGAACUAUUCAGUUUAUACUUGUUGUUAAUCUUCUGUGUAUUGUGUAUAUAUGGUGCAUUCCUUAUUUGGUUUGCACACCACAGAGUAAACUGAAAUAAGGUAACUUGCAUUUUGUCAAGGAGGUUUGGUUCUAUUUUUUUUCUAUGAAAAAAUUAGUUCUUGACUUCUAUGCCAUCUUUCGUUGUUACAGGUAUGAAGCCUUGUUUUACUAUCCUCGGGAUAAACAUGUUUCAGAUACUAAACAAGGGAACAUCCGUGCCCUUUUGUGAUGUUAACCAUGUUAACCAUCUUACGCCAGGGCCGACGAGGAAGAGGACCGGCGGAGUGGGGUUCGACAAGGUGGCGGUGGUUACUUUGUAUAUCCUGUUGGUUUGUGGUUAUGUAAUUCCUAUAGCUGUAACUUUUGCGCAUUCAUAAGGCCUUUAUAGAAUGCUAAAAGCUUCAGACCUUUGCAUCAACCAAAGCUUACUCUUAGAAACUUGGUUUAAGUUAAAUUUGCUCCAAGUAAUUAAGGAUAUUAGGCCUCUACAAGAAAAGUAAGAAUCUGAAUCCGUAAGUAAUUAUAACCACUCAAGUGUGAUAUUCUUGUGUUGCUUAAAUUUCCAGUUAAGAUAUCUUUUUGAUAUAGAUUGCCGGGUUCCGUUCUCACAUAAAACUCCCAGUUUUGUGAUCAGCAUGUACCUGUAUAUGAUGUUUCUGCUAGAAGCUCUGCUUACUUUGAUGUACAUCUCUUUUUCUGAAAAAGUCACUAACAAUUUGUUUGGCUGAAUAUCUUAUGUCAACUGGAUUCCAUCUCUAUUUCUGUAAAUCUCUUUCCUGAAAAGGUCAGUGAAAAGGUGGUGUGAAGUGAGGGGAUGUAGAGAUGGAUGAGGACGUUGGCAGGAAGUAGUUGCAGCUCGACGGCCGGAAGCAGCAGCUCGUCCUCUGCUAGGUCUUCACCUCCGCCCUUAGUCUACCUUUAGCAGCGGCCAGUUAUACUCAGCUUCGUUGCUCCCACUCCUGUUCCUCGCUCUUUCUUAUAUAGGUUUCCAUUUAAUGGCAGCUCUCUCUCCUUUUUCCAUCUCUCUGUUUUGUAGAUAGCAGAGCAACCUAUCAUAUAUACACACUGAAAUUGAUCUGUUGUAAGCUUAUUCAGAUUUUAUUUCUUUCUUAUUGAUUCAUCAAGGAAUGGUUGUAAUGAAUAUUUUAUAUGACUACAUCCAAGGGAGCAAGAAAUCGUGAUGUUAUACCAUACGCCCAUGUUGAUGUACAUGAGUGAGACUGGUAAUCAAAUAAUGUGCGACAUAAAAUAAGUGCACACAGUCCCGUCCUAGGAGGCGCCACCAGGUGGCGCCCCAGCCUCUAGUUAUGUUUAAUUGGCAUGGUUUCUAGCUGCUUGUAGCAAGCAGUACACGCAUAAUUAUGUUUGUGAACUAUAUGAACUGCUUAAAUCCUGAAUAAUUGAUUAUAAUUCUUGUUGUAAUAUUUAUUUGGUUAAUCAGGGAGGUUACAGCUGUGGUCUUGUUGAGUGGGUUGACCCAGAAUGGCCAGAGCCACUUAAGAAUGCUCUGCGCAAGCUUUGGGAUAUGUAUGAGCAGAGCCAAGAGCAGAUCAAGGUUAAAGAAGAUGUGAUUGCCCUGCUAGAAGAAGAGAAGCGUCUGAUGCAGGCAAAACAGAAGAGUGUUCAGGAAAGUGCCGCUGAUCAGGUUGCACCUGAUGCUAAUGAAAUCAAGACCGAUCUUGAGAAGGAGAAUAUGUCACUGAAGGGAGAGGUAGAGCUGCUGAAGAAGAUCCAGGCCACUCAGGCUGAACUCAUUAGCAAAUGGAGGAAAGAUGCACAUGUUGAUGAAGUAAAUCAGCAGAAGAAAAGGCUUGAGUUUGCCAUAUCUGACCUUUUGAAGGAUGGAGAGGCCAACAAGUCUAAGCUGAAGAGAAUCAGGGCUAUAUGUGAUGAGUGAUUGCAAUAAUUAUGUAUGGUGCUUAUUUAUAAUAGAAGGAAUGGUUGGAAAUUAUGUAUGGUUCUUAU